rnacentral:rRNA from 1 species
GCAGCCGCGGUAAACCAGCUCCAAUAGCGUAUAUUAAAGUUGUUGCAGUUAAAAAGCUCGUAGUUGAACUUCAGACCUGGCUGGGCGGUCCGCUUAACGGCGUGUACUGUCUGGCUGGGCCUUACCUCUUGGUGAGCCGGUGUGCCCUUUAUUGGCGUGCAUUGGGGAACCAGGACUUUUACCUUGAGAAAAUUAGAGUGUUCAAAGCAGGCCUAUGCCCGAAUACAUUAGCAUGGAAUAAUAAAAUAGGACGUGCGGUUCUAUUUUGUUGGUUUCUAGAGUCGCCGUAAUGAUUAAUAGGGAUAGUUGGGGGCAUUGGUAUUGAGUCGCUAGAGGUGAAAUUCUUGGAUUGACUCAAGACCAACUAUUGCGAAAGCAUUUGCCAAGGAUGUUUUCAUUAAUCAAGAACGAAGGUUAGGGGAUCGAAAACGAUCAGAUACCGUUGUAGUCUUAACAGUAAACUAUGCACGACUAGGGAUCGGGUAACCUCAAAUUUGAUGUGUUGCUCGGCACCUUACGAGAAAUCAAA